GACACAAACCUACAACUGAGAUAACAGCAGACUUUACAACAGUAGAAGAUACAACAGUAGAAGAGUGGAAGUUACAAGAGUAGAAGUUUCAAGAGUAUAAGUUACAAGAGUAGAAGUUACAAUAGUAGAAGUUACAAGAGUAGAAGUUACAACAGUAGAAGAUACAACAGUAGAAGAGUGGAAGUUACAAGAGUAGAAGUUUCAAGAGUAGAAGUUACAAGAGUAGAAGUUACAACAGUAGAAGAUACAACAGUAGAAGAGUAGAAGUUACAGGAGUAGAAGUUACAGGAGUAGAAGUUACAAGAGUAGAAGUUACAAGAGUAGAAGAUACAACAGUAGAAGAGUAGAAGUUACAAGAGUAGAAGUUACAAGAGUAGAAGUUACAAGAGUAGAAGAUACAACAGUAGAAGAGUAGAAGUUACAGGAGUAGAAGUUACAGGAGUAGAAGUUACAAGAGUAGAAGUUACAAGAGUAGAAGUUACAAGAGUAGAAGUUACAAGAGUAGAAGUUACAAGAGUAGAAGUUACAAGAGUAGAAGUUACAAGAGUAGAAGUUACAAGAGUAGAAGUUACAAGAGUAGAAGUUACAACAGUAGAAGAUACAACAGUAGAAGAGUAGAAGUUACAGGAGUAGAAGUUUCAAGAGUAGAAGUUACAAUAGUAGAAGUUACAAGAGUAGAAGUUACAAGAGUAGAAGUUACAAGAGUAGAAGUUACAAGAGUAGAAGUUACAAGAGUAGAAGAUACAAGAGUAGAAGAUACAAGAGUAGAAGAUACAAGAGUAGAAGAUACAACAGUAGAAGAGUAGAAGUUACAGGAGUAGAAGUUACGAUUUGAAGACAAAGAACCUGAUAAAUAAAUACCAUGGAUAUUGACGAUGAUAUAUAUGCCAAUCAAAGACCCAUUGUACCCCGCAGGAAGGAUGGAGUUGGUGAUCAACAUUCAGUGUCUUGUCAGUGGUGGAAGAGAUACUCUGGAGCUGCUGCAGUGUGUCUGGGGCUGCUGUGUGUUCUCCUACUGGCUGGGAUCAUAGGCCUGUUUCUCUACCAGAGAAACCAAUUGACCAGUUUCAACACCCUGACUGAAGAGAGGGACCAGCUACAGACCAGUUACAACAUCCUGACCAAAGAGAGAGACCAGCUACAGACAAACUACAACACCCUGACCAAAGAUGGAGACCAGUUACAGACUAGCAACAACACCCUGAUCAAAGAGAGAGACCAGCUUCAGAAAGAGAUAGAACGUCUGAAACAUUCUUUAGUUGAGAAAGUGUGUCCGCAAGGAUGGAAGAAGCUUGGUAGCAGUUGUUACUACGUCUCUACUGAGAAAAAAUCCUGGCAGGAGAGCAGACAGGACUGCAGAGAUAGAGGAGCACACCUGGUGGUCAUCAAGAGCCAAGAACAACAGACAUUAGUCAACUGGUUAUGUGGGGUAAAGAACUAUGUCUGGAUUGGUCUGACUGACUCUGUUUCUGAGGGGACCUGGAAAUGGGUGGACGACACACCACUGACCACAAAGUAUUGGAACAGUGGACAGCCUGAUUCUGUGUUGUUUCUUCUACAGGUAUUGGAACAGUGGACAGCCUGAUUCUGUGUUGUUUCUUCUACAGGUAUUGGAACAGUGGACAGCCUGAUUCUGUGUUGUUUCUUCUACAGGUAUUGGAACAGUGGACAGCCUGAUUCUGUGUUGUUUCUUCUACAGGUAUUGGAACAGUGGACAGCCUGAUUCUGUGUUGUUUCUUCUACAGGUAUUGGAACAGUGGACAGCCUGAUUCUGUGUUGUUUCUUCUACAGGUAUUGGAACAGUGGACAGCCUGAUUCUGUGUUGUUUCUUCUACAGGUAUUGG